UUUUUGUUUAUUUGUAUGUAU
rnacentral:sRNA from 1 species